rnacentral:pre_miRNA from 1 species
CAAAUACUACCUUCGUUCCAAAAUUCUUGUCUUAGAUUUGUUUAGAUAUGAAUGUACCUAGUCAAGUUUUAGUAUUUAGAUACAUCUAUUUUUAGACAAAGCUAAGACAAGAAUUUUGAAACGGAAGGAGUAUAUA